rnacentral:misc_RNA from 1 species
ACAAUUAGCUAAAGCACAAGCUGAAAUUGUCAACAUGCAAUGUCAACAAGCAAAUCUCAUGGCACUAAUUUGUAUGGAAAUGGGCCAAUCUAAUCCACAACCAAUAUCACCACCACAACAAUCUUUAGAAAAUUUCCCUAUGAAUUACUUAGAUGAUAAUAUUGGAUCAUGGGAAACCCUAUGGACAUGAUCGAGUCGAUUUAAGGGAGAAACACUUUCUAUACCAAUAGAUUCAUCAGUUCUAACUCAGGUCCUAGAAAAUUUCAUCGAAUACUCAAGAUAAAUUUUGAGUAAAAUAUAUAGUAUUGGAAUCGCGAAUAAAAUUUAUGUAAUAUUAUUUGAUUUCUUAGCGAAAGGAAAAAUGAAAAUUGAUGCAAAUCUUUAAAGAUUUGUGUCAAUGUCUAGUCUAGUAAUUUUUUUUUAUAUAUAUAAUAUGAUUCUAGUGAGAUUAAUGGAUGGUAUUCUUCUACUCCUAUGUGUA